rnacentral:rRNA from 1 species
UGGGGAAUAUUGGACAAUGGGCGCAAGCCUGAUCCAGCAAUGCCGCGUGUGUGAAGAAGGCCUUCGGGUUGUAAAGCCCUUUUAUCAGGCGCGACAUACCACGGGUUAAUACCCUAUGGGGCUGACGGUACCUGAGGAAUAAGCACCGGCUAACUUCGUGCCAGCAGCCGCGGUAAUACGUAGGGUGCGAGCGUUAAUCGGAAUGACUGGGCGUAAAGUGUGCGCAGGCGGCAGAGCAAGUCGAGUGUGAAAGCCCCGGGCUUAACUUGGGAAUUGCGCUCGAAACUACUUUGCUGGAGUGUGGCAGAGGAAGGUGGAAUUCCACGUGUAGCGGUGAAAUGCGUAGAGAUGUGGAGGAACACCAAUGGCGAAGGCAGCCUUCUGGGCCAACACCGACGCUCAUGCACGAAAGCGUGGGGAGCAAAC